rnacentral:rRNA from 1 species
ACGGGAGGCAGCAGUGGGGGAUAUUGCACAAUGGAGGAAACUCUGAUGCAGCAACGCCGCGUGAGGGAAGAAGGUCUUCGGAUUGUAAACCUAAGUUGUCAGGGACGAAACAAAUGACGGUACCUGAAGAGAAAGCUCCGGCUAACUACGUGCCAGCAGCCGCGGUAAUACGUAGGGAGCGAGCGUUGUCCGGAUUUACUGGGUGUAAAGGGUGCGUAGGCGGGCUUGCAAGUCAGGCGUGAAAUCCCGUGGCUCAACUGCGGGGCUGCGCUUGAAACUGUAGGUCUUGAGUGAAGUAGAGGCAAGCGGAAUUCCUAGUGUAGCGGUGAAAUGCGUAGAUAUUAGGAGGAACACCAGUGGCGAAGGCGGCUUUCUGGACUGUAACUGACACUGAGGCACGAAAGCGUGGGGAGCAAACAGGAUUAGAUACCCUGGUA